GAUGAACGCUGGCGGCGUGCCUAAUACAUGCAAGUCGAGCGAACAGACGAGGAGCUUGCUCCUCUGACGUUAGCGGCGGACGGGUGAGUAACACGUGGAUAACCUACCUAUAAGACUGGGAUAACUUCGGGAAACCGGAGCUAAUACCGGAUAAUAUAUUGAACCGCAUGGUUCAAUAGUGAAAGACGGUUUUGCUGUCACUCAUAGAUGGAUCCGCGCCGCAUUAGCUAGUUGGUAAGGUAACGGCUUACCAAGGCAACGAUGCGUAGCCGACCUGAGAGGGUGAUCGGCCACACUGGAACUGAGACACGGACCAGACUCCUACGGGAGGCAGCAGUAGGGAAUCUUCCGCAAUGGGCGAAAGCCUGACGGAGCAACGCCGCGUGAGUGAUGAAGGUCUUCGGAUCGUAAAACUCUGUUAUUAGGGAAGAACAAAUGUGUAAGUAACUAUGCACGUCUUGACGGUACCUAAUCAGAAAGCCACGGCUAACUACGUG
rnacentral:rRNA from 1 species